rnacentral:rRNA from 1 species
CAGUAGCCGCGGGAAUACGUAGGUGGCAAGCGUUGUCCGGAAUUAUUGGGCGUAUAGGGCUCGCAGGCGGUUUCUUAAGUCUGAUGUGAAAGCCCCCGGCUCAACCGGGGAGGGUCAUUGGAAACUGGGAAACUUGAGUGCAGAAGAGGAGAGUGGAAUUCCACGUGUAGCGGUGAAAUGCGUAGAGAUGUGGAGGAACACCAGUGGCGAAGGCGACUCUCUGGUCUGUAACUGACGCUGAGGAGCGAAAGCGUGGGGAGCGAACAGGAUUAGAUACCCCAGUAGUCCCUGUCUCUUAUAA